rnacentral:rRNA from 1 species
UCUGCGUUUCAUUAGCUACCUUGGUGGGGUGAACGGCCUACCAAGGCAACGAUGGGUAGCCGAUCUGAGAGGAUGAUCGGCCACACUGCCAACUGAAACACGGUCCAGACUCCUACGGGAGGCAGCAGUGGGGAAUAUUGCGCAAUGGGCGAAAGCCUAACGCAGCGACGCCGCGUGAGGCAUGAAGGACUUCGGAUCGUAAACCUCUGUCAGAAGGGAAGAAACUAGGGUGCUCUAAUCAUCAUCCUACUGACGGUACCUUCAAAGGAAGCACACGGCUAACUCCGUGCCAGCAGACGCGCUAAUACUGGAGAGUGCAAGCGUUAAUCGGAAUCACUGGCCGUAAAGCGCACCGGAAGCUAGUUAUGUAAGUCAGGGGGGAAAUCCCACGGCUCAACCGUGGAACUGCCCUUCAUACUGCACGACUUGAAUCCGAGAGAGGGAGGCGGAAUUCCAGGUGUAGGAGUGAAAUCCGUAGAUAUCUGGAGGAACAUCACUGGCGAAGGCGGCCACCUGCCACCGGUAUUGACGCUAAGGUGCGAAAGCGUGAGCAGCAAAUAGGAUAAGAUACNCUGGUAGUCCACGCCGUAAACGAUAGAAGCU